rnacentral:rRNA from 1 species
AUUGAACGCUGGCGGCAGGCCUAACACAUGCCAGUCGAGCGGAUGAAGGGAGCUUGCUCCUGGAUUCAGCGGCGGACGGGUGAGUAAUGCCUAGGAAACUGCCUGGUAGUGGGGGAUAACGUCCGGAAACGGGCGCUAAUACCGCAUACGUCCUGAGGGAGAAAGUGGGGGAUCUUCGGACCUCACGCUAUCAGAUGAGCCUAGGUCGGAUUAGCUAGUUGGUGGGGUAAAGGCCUACCAAGGCGACGAUCCGUAACUGGUCUGAGAGGAUGAUCAGUCACACUGGAACUGAGACACGGUCCAGACUCCUACGGGAGGCAGCAGUGGGGAAUAUUGGACGAUGGGCGAAAGCCUGAUCCAGCCAUGCCGCGUGUGUGAAGAAGGUCUUCGGAUUGUAAAGCACUUUAAGUUGGGAGGAAGGGCAGUAAGUUAAUACCUUGCUGUUUUGACGUUACCAACAGAAUAAGCACCGGCUAACUUCGUG